rnacentral:rRNA from 1 species
CUUAUAUUCUGUAGCAAGGUUAACCGUAUAGGGGAGCCGGAGGGAAACCGAGUCUUAACCGGGCGUUAAGUUGCAGGGUAUAGACCCGAAACCCGGUGAUCUAGCCAUGGGCAGGUUGAAGGUUGGGUAACACUAACUGGAGGACCGAACCGACUAAUGUUGAAAAAUUAGCGGAUGACCUGUGGCUGGGGGUGAAAGGCCAAUCAAACCGGGAGAUAGCUGGUUCUCCCCGAAAGCUAUUUAGGUAGCGCCUCGUGAAUUCAUCUCCGGGGGUAGAGCACUGUUUCGGCUAGGGGGCCAUCCCGGCUUACCAACCCGAUGCAAACUGCGAAUACCGGAGAAUGUUAUCACGGGAGACACACGGCGGGUGCUAACGUCCGUCGUGAAGAGGGAAACAACCCAGACCGCCAGCUAAGGUCCCAAAGUCAUGGUUAAGUGGGAAACGAUGUGGGAAGGCCCAGACAGCCAGGAUGUUGGCUUAGAAGCAGCCAUCAUUUAAAGAAAGCGUAAUAGCUCACUGGUCGAGUCGGCCUGCGCGGAAGAUGUAACGGGGCUAAACCAUGCACCGAAGCUGCGGCAGCGA